CGCGGCCUAUCAGCUUGUUGGUGAGGUAAUGGCUCACCAAGGCGACGACGGGUAGCCGGCCUGAGAGGGUGACCGGCCACACUGGGACUGAGACACGGCCCAGACUCCUACGGGAGGCAGCAGUGGGGAAUAUUGCACAAUGGGCGAAAGCCUGAUGCAGCGACGCCGCGUGAGGGAUGACGGCCUUCGGGUUGUAAACCUCUUUCGACAGGGACGAAGCGCAAGUGACGGUACCUGUAGAAGAAGCACCGGCUAACUACGUGCCAGCAGCCGCGGUAAUACGUAGGGUGCGAGCGUUGUCCGGAAUUAUUGGGCGUAAAGAGCUCGUAGGCGGUUUGUCGCGUCGACUGUGAAAACUGGGGGCUUAACUCUCAGCUUGCAGUCGAUACGGGCAGACUUGAGUUCGGUAGGGGAGACUGGAAUUCCUGGUGUAGCGGUGAAAUGCGCAGAUAUCAGGAGGAACACCGGUGGCGAAGGCGGGUCUCUGGGCCGAUACUGACGCUGAGGAGCGAAAGCGUGGGGAGCGAACAGGAUUAGAUACCCUGGUAGUCCACCCCGUAAACGUUGGGCGCUAGGUGUGGGGCUCAUUCCACGAGUUCCGUGCCGCAGCUAACGCAUUAAGCGCCCCGCCUGGGGAGUACGG
rnacentral:rRNA from 1 species